rnacentral:rRNA from 1 species
GUGGGGAAUAUUGGACAAUGGGCGCAAGCCUGAUCCAGCCAUGCCGCGUGAGUGAUGAAGGCCCUAGGGUUGUAAAGCUCUUUUGUGCGGGAAGAUAAUGACGGUACCGCAAGAAUAAGCCCCGGCUAACUUCGUGCCAGCAGCCGCGGUAAUACGAAGGGGGCUAGCGUUGCUCGGAAUCACUGGGCGUAAAGGGUGCGUAGGCGGGUCUUUAAGUCAGGGGUGAAAUCCUGGAGCUCAACUCCAGAACUGCCUUUGAUACUGAAGAUCUUGAGUUCGGGGGAGGUGAGUGGAACUGCGAGUGUAUAGGUGAGAGUCGUAGAUAAUCGCAAGAACACCAGAGGCGAAGGCGACUCACUGGCCCGAUGCUGACGCUGAGGCACGAAAGCGUGGGGAGCAAACAGGAUUAGAUACCCGUGUAGUCC